CCUACGGGAGGCAGCAGUGGGGGAUAUUGCACAAUGGGGGAAACCCUGAUGCAGCGACGCCGCGUGGGCGAAGAAGUAUUUCGGUAUGUAAAGCCCUAUCAGCAGGGAAGAAGAAAUGACGGUACCUGAGUAAGAAGCACCGGCUAAAUACGUGCCAGCAGCCGCGGUAAUACGUAUGGUGCAAGCGUUAUCCGGAUUUGCUGGGUGUAAAGGGAGCGCAGGCGGCACGGCAAGCCUGAUGUGAAAGCCCGCGGCCCAACCGCGGGACUGCAUUGGGAACUACCGGGCUGGAGUGCCGGAGAGGUAGGCGGAAUUCCUAGUGUAGCGGUGAAAUGCGUAGAUAUUAGGAGGAACACCAGUGGCGAAGGCGGCUUACUGGACUGUAACUGACGUUGAGGCUCGAAAGCGUGGGGAGCAAACAGGAUUAGAUACCCGAGUAGUC
rnacentral:rRNA from 1 species